rnacentral:rRNA from 1 species
AGAGCGAACGCUGGCGGCAGGCUUAACACAUGCAAGUCGAGCGGGCGUAGCAAUACGUCAGCGGCAGACGGGUGAGUAACGCGUGGGAACGUACCUUUUGGUUCGGAACAACCCAGGGAAACUUGGGCUAAUACCGGAUAAGCCCUUACGGGGAAAGAUUUAUCGCCGAAAGAUCGGCCCGCGUCUGAUUAGCUAGUUGGUGAGGUAAUGGCUCACCAAGGCGACGAUCAGUAGCUGGUCUGAGAGGAUGAUCAGCCACAUUGGGACUGAGACACGGCCCAAACUCCUACGGGAGGCAGCAGUGGGGAAUAUUGGACAAUGGGCGCAAGCCUGAUCCAGCCAUGCCGCGUGAGUGAUGAAGGCCCUAGGGUUGUAAAGCUCUUUUGUGCGGGAAGAUAAGUGACGGUACCGCAAGAAUAAGCCCCGGACUAACUUCGCGCCAGCAGCCGAC